GCACCUCUCUCUCAUUGUUGCCAUGUGAAGCUCUUGCAGAAAGUUUUGUUGAAUGAAGGGAGAUGAUGAAACAAUGGCAAGCUUUUUGUGGUUAUGGUGAUUUCAAUGAAGAAAGAACCUCUGGAGUGGUAGAGCCCAUGAAGUUGGUGGAGAACCAGGUUCGAUUUUCACGUAAAUCAAAGAUCAUGUCACGUACGGAUUUAACUUGUUGACAGAUAAACAUUCUUUCUGGAGAAUCAGAUAAACAUUUCUUUCUUCCCAAAAGGUUAUUCCCAAUCCAAGGACCCCGCCCCGACCCAACAAAGCUUCUAGGAGGAUGUAAAUUAUGGUAACUCAGAUGAAUAUAGAGGCUAGACCUUUGCUCACUGCGCACAAGGAAACAGAUAAACAAUUCUUGAAAAGAUAGAUACCAUGGUGUUGUUAAAAGAGUACAGCUACACACCCAAAAAAAAAAGCCAAUUUGUUUGGCUGCAUAAAUUCUCCAUUGGCGUGGAACUCCAGCAAUGAUAUGCAUAUCAUCAGAACAAUAUGGAGUGUUAUUCUCACAUCUUCUUUCUAUAACUUUUCUUCUUCUUUUUUUGAUAGAAACAGUUACUACUUGAGAAUCUAUACUUGGUAAAUUCUGCUCCUAUAUAAUAGCCUGAAAACUACAUAGGAGAAGUAAAUCGCAUUAAGAAGACCUGGUGCGAAGGGGUCGACUUGUGACCUUUAAGUACCAAAGUCAUGUUUCAUCCACUCGAUUGUCCAUUUCUCACAUCAUUCAUUCCAAAUAACUUUUUAAUACAUAGGAAUGGAAUCGCAUUUUAGCUACAGCAAACCAAGUUGGGGUCUGUUUGUGUCAUACAUUUCAUAGAAGUACAAUUUUUUCUAAAUACACAGUAUAAUGUUUCAAACAAGAAAGAUGAUGAGGAUACAAUGUACAGUAGUUGUUAAUCUAAAACUGUUUUUACUGGGUUAUGGGGAUAGAAUUUAAUACAUGAUAGCAUCUCUGAAGGCCAUAUAUCAUCCAAAUUCACGUUUCUGUUGCAGAGAGUGUAAAGACCUAAAGGCUCAGCUUCUGGUUGAUGUUAAAAUCUUCAGAAGAUGAUAAUGCAGGCUCCUGAACGUUGCAAUACAAGAUGAAUGAAAUGGAAAACUGGAGAAACGAAGUAAAUGCGGGGAAGAGGAGGAUAACUAGUACCUGCUCCAUCUUGGGUUGGAAAACUUUCAGCACACGGUUUCUGGUUCUGUUCACUGCUUCAAUUGCCUCGUGCAUAUAAUCGAGCAAGCCAGCAUAUGUUAUGCUUGGUUUUUCCUUUAUUGCCUUGAUCAAUGUGUAGGUCAUUGCCCCUGUGGUGUCUUUUCCAGAAGUAAAAGCCUGCUCAGAUUUGAUUUUUUUUUUAAAAAAAAAAGAGAAAUAGUACAGAACUGAGGCGAUUUGCAUUGAACAUUUGGCCAAAGAUGUAAGAACAUGAUGGAGAAGUAUUAUGUACAUUGGUAUCUGCAGCAAGUUCAUAGUCCUGACAAGCACUCAAACAGAUUGCCAUCCCACCAUUAGUGCUCUUGCAAGCACCAGAUGGAGGUUUGUUAUCGGUCCACUUCUUCCUGUUUCAGCAAACACAAUAUAAGGCGUGGCAAGUCAAGAACAGUCCCGCUGUGACAUGCAUCCACAAUAGCAUGAAGUUUGAUUCCUGGAGCUAGUGGCUUAACAAUGAUGUCAUUAAUGGCAUUAUCGAGAAUCAUGCCUUCAGUCCUGAAGUCAAGAGGACAGAUGGUUUCAUCAAAUCCAUCGAGCUCGUCCCCAGCAAAAUUGGGUUGUCUAAAGCCAUGUCCAGAGAAGUAGAAGAUCAAGGAGUCUCCAGGCUGCAGGUUUUUCAUCAGCCAUUUGAGAGCUUCUAUGAUGUUCUUCCUGGUUGGAGAAAUUUGGCAUUAAUACCUGCAAGAACCAGAAUGGAGGAUUGUUGAAAGCUGAAAUGCUGAAGGAGUAAUUCCUGCAUGCUCUUCACAUCCUGCAGACUUCCCCUCACCUUGAACCUGUUAUUCUUGUAAGUCACUCCACAGAGAAGGGCUCGUUUCCCACUUCGGGGUGGCUGUAAGCCCGCCACUGACUGGUUAAGACUAGAGCUUGGAGAAGGGGAUUGAGAGUUACCCCAUGAAAACCUGUUAAACACCUGCAGAAAUCUCCUCCUACCAAAACUGGCGGAGCUUCCCUGUUCUUGGACAGCCAUCUCUCGUUGUCCAUCCCCGAGGGAAAUGACAGUGUUGCAUUUUCUGCAGCGGAUUACUCGACUCUGUGGUGGCACUGCCAGUUCUUGCCCACAGAAGUUGCAUGUCAGAGCCGCCAUGUUGCACUGCUGUUGAUCUUUCUUUGCUUGUUAUAUAAACUGGGCAGCUGCAGAAAUCAUAAUCAUCCAGACAAACACAAAGAAAUCACAAUCUGUCGUGUGGAAAUGCUUUCCACUUGUGCAAAAGUUACGUUCAGAUUUGUAGUUCCUUUGAUUGAUUCUGUUUCUCUUUAGCAGCUUUUCUAACUCAUUGAACAAUCUUCUUUGCAUAGUGUUGUCAAAUAACAAAGAUGCUCGGUGGUCUUUUUUUU